rnacentral:lncRNA from 1 species
GCAUGCUUUCCAUAAAUUUUGUACUUCACGUAAAAUAUACGUACAUGUAUAUAUAUACGGAAUUUUUAAAAUUGACACCCCCUACUCACCUCAUAAUAGUGGGAUAUUACUUCACUAUUGAUUCAUAUGCGUAUAUAAUUAUUCCUAUUUGUCGGUCACAUACUUCGUUCGGCACGCCUCCACGGCAAACUUUUCUAGCAACAAUUUAAACUCAGUAUACUUAAUCACACAUUUGUAUGGGUAGCAACUUAAUUAAAAAUU